rnacentral:lncRNA from 1 species
CUGAACCAUUAUUGACAUGAUGCAGCUGACUGAUUCUUGGAAGGGGGAAAUGAGUCGUCGGCGGAAGUGAGUUUGAAGUGAAGAUGAACCUUAACUCUUUUUCCUUGAGCCCUACGAGGGCGAACAGGGGCCUGUUCUAGCUAUGGCCGUGUCGACUGUGGAGAGCCACUGAACAUCAUUCUUUCCUCCGGUUUGAAACCAAUCAUAUCCUUCCAGUCGAGCAAGGCCCUCCUCCCGGCUUUGAAAGGCGAGGACCAACUCAUGAAAGCAUCGAGGGAGAAAUAACUUGCAAAAUGAAAUGUCAUUCCUCAGGCUAUCAAGUCCAGUUCCAAAUGCGUCAAGUCAUGCACUUUCCUAUAUGAAUUUCCCACAUGACUCCUCAUCAUGUGCUUGCCAAAUAUUCCUAUUUAGGGUCACCUCUAACAUUAUUUUGAGAUUUGUCAUAUCCUUUCCUAGAAUACCUUAGGUCCUCUCCUUCUAAGGCAUAUUUAAUAAAAUUACAUCAAA